CUGGCAGGUCGAGCCGGUAACAGAGAAAGCUUGUUUCUUGCUGACGAGCGGCGGACGGGUGAAAGUAUGGGGAUCUGCCCGAUAGAGGGGGAUAACUACGGAAACGGUGCUAAUACCGCAUGACGUCUACGGACCAAAGCAGGGGCUCUUCGGACCUUGCGCUAUCGGAUGAACCCAUAUGGGAUUAGCUAGUAGGUGAGGUAAUGGCUCCCUAGGCGACGAUCUCUAGCUGGUCUGAGAGGAUGAUCAGCCACACUGGGACUGAGACACGGCCCAGACUCCUACGGGAGGCAGCAGUGGGGAAUAUUGCACAAUGGGCGCAAGCCUGAUGCAGCCUGCCGCGUGUAUGAAGAAGGCCUUAGGGUUGUAAAGUACUUUCAGCGGGGAGGAAGGUGAUAAAGUUAAUACCUUUAUCAAUUGACGUUACCCGCAGAAGAAGCACCGGCUAACUCCGUGCCAGCAGCCGCGGUAAUACGAGGGUGCAAGCGUUAAUCGGAAUUACUGGGCGUAAAGCGCACGCAGGCGGUCAAUUAAGUCAGAUGUGAAAGACCCAGCUUAACUUGCAAUUGCAUCUGAAACUGGGGCUAAGCUUGAGAGGGGGGUAGAAUUCC
rnacentral:rRNA from 1 species